rnacentral:rRNA from 1 species
UUGAUUCCAGUUGAUCCCGCUGGAGGUCACGGCUAUUGGAGUUCGUUAACCAUGCAAGUCAAGGAAUAACCUUUUAUUCCUGGCGCUCGGUCCAGUAACACGUAGGUAACCUGCCCUUUGGAGAGGGAUAACCUCGGGAAACUGAGGACAAUACCUCAUAAAUGACUAAUUCUGGAAUGACUAGUCAUUUAAAGGAAAUAAGGAAAUGGCCUUAUUUUGCCAACGGAUGGGCCUGCGGCGGAUUAGGUUGUUGGUGGUGUAACGGACCACCAAGCCCAAGAUCCGUAGGGGCAUUGAAAGAUGGUGCCUCGGGAAGGACACUGAGACAAGGGUCCUAGCCCUAAGGGGUGCAGCAGGUACGAAGCCUCUACAAUGCGCGAAAGCGUGAUAGGGGAACUCCAAGUGCACUAUCUAUGAUAGUGCUGUGGCGAAGUGUAAAUAGCUUCGCAAGAAAGGGGUGGGCAAGACAGGUGCCAGCAGCCGCGGUAAUCCCUGCGCCUCAAGUCGUGACCAUGUUUAUUAGGCCUAAAGUAUCCGUAGCCGGACUAAUAAGUCCCUUGUGAAAUCGUGCGGCUUAACCGUACGGCGUGCAAGGGAUACUUCUAGUCUUGGGACCGGGAGGGGUCAAGGGUAUUUCUGGGGUAAGGGUUAAAUCUUAUAAUCCCAGGAGGACCAACGGUGGCGAAGGCGCUUGACCAGAACGGGUCCGACGGUGAAUGGAUGAAAGCUGGGGUAGCAAAGCGGAUUAGAUACCCGUGUAGUCCCAGCCGUAAACACUGCCCGCUAGGUGUCGCAUGUUCCUAGAGAGCAUGCAGUGUCGAAGCGAAGGCAUUAAGCGGGCCGCCUGGGAAGUACGCCCACAAGGGUGAAACUUAAAGGAAUUGGCGGGGGAACACAACAAGGGGUGCAUCGUGCGGUUUAAUUGGACCUAACACCGGAAAUCUCACCAGGGGCGACAGCAGUAUGAAGGUCAGUCUAAAGGGCUUACCUGACACGCUGAGAAGAGGUGCAUGGCCAUCGUCAGCUCGUGCCGUGAGGUGUCCUGUUAAGUCAGGUAACGAGCGAGACCCAUAUCCUUAUUUGCCACUUCUCAUCCUCGGAUGAGAAAGCACAAUAAGGAGACUGCCACCGAAAGGUGGAGGAGGGCGUGGGCAACGGUAGGUCAGUAUGCCCUGAAUCUCCUGGGCCACACGCGCGACGCAAUGGCAGGUACAAUGGGAAGCGACACCGAGAGGUGAAGCAAAUCUCUUAAAACCUGUCUCAGUCUGGACUGAGGGCUGUAACUCGCCCUCAUGAAAACGAAAUCCCUAGUAAUCGCGUUUCAACAAGGCGCGAUGAAUACGUCCCUGUUCCUUGCACACACUGCCCAUCGAACCACUCGAGUUGAGUAUGGGUGAGUCACUCCCCCUCGGGGGUCGCGAACCUGUGCUCGAUGAGAAGGGUUAAGUUGACACAAGGUAUCCGUACGGGAACGUGCGGAUGGAUCACCUCCUUU